UGGGGAAUAUUGCACAAUGGGCGCAAGCCUGAUGCAGCCAUGCCGCGUGUGUGAAGAAGGCCUUCGGGUUGUAAAGCACUUUCAGCGGGGAGGAAGGCGAUAAGGUUAAUAACCUCAUCGAUUGACGUUACCCGCAGAAGAAGCACCGGCUAACUCCGUGCCAGCAGCCGCGGUAAUACGGAGGGUGCAAGCGGUAAUCGGAAUUACUGGGCGUAAAGCGCACGCAGGCGGUCUGUCAAGUCGGAUGUGAAAUCCCCGGGCUCAACCUGGGAACUGCAUUCGAAACUGGCAGGCUAGAGUCUUGUAGAGGGGGGUAGAAUUCCAGGUGUAGCGGUGAAAUGCGUAGAGAUCUGGAGGAAUACCGGUGGCGAAGGCGGCCCCCUGGACAAAGACUGACGCUCAGGUGCGAAAGCGUGGGGAGCAAACAGG
rnacentral:rRNA from 1 species